AGGUACAAAAUCCCCUGGGACAAAACAGAACUUUCAUAACUGGCUGUAGAGUUAUUGUUUUUGCCUUUUGGAAGCUUCCACCUUGUGACGGGAAGAGCACUGUCAGCCCAACACAGAAACUCUGCCGCCUGGAGUCACGUGGAUCCAGAUGCGAAGGGACUCCAAUGUCAUGCUAAGGAGUUUGGCUAAGAAUUUGUACAGCCACAUUACAGAUUUGGAAAAUGAUGUGAAGAGAAGCUAAGGGAUUUGCCACUGCCACUCAGCUGCCAAGGAUCAGAGGCAGGAUUCUACAUUACUUCUACUUCUCAACGUCCAUCCUCCAACCAUUGUCCAGUGAUGCAGGCAGAAUUCCCUCCCUCAGGAGGUGAUAGCCAUCCUGUGACCCUGGAAGAAACCAGCCCAAGGAAGGUGCUAACCUACAGAAGAAGGACAUGGCCAGGGUAAUCACAUAGACCCGGAGUUGAAGCCCUGACUGCACCACACCCGAAGCCUCCCCACCUUUCAACCUCUCGGUGAUGGUGAACCAAUAAACUCUUUUUAUUGUUCAAGCCAGUGUGAGGUAGGUUCGCUAUAACUUGCUGCAGAAAGUCUCCUGAGUGAUUCAGAUGCCUGUUGGUGCUCCUGGAAUUGCAUCCAGAUGCCCUACCUUAGUAUUAAAGUCUCACUCAACUGUAAGAUCAAUGAGUGGGGAGGGUGAGGGCUAGAUUUUCAUUGACCCUGGUGUUGCCAGCCCCUGCUAGACAUCAAUCUGGCACAAAGCAGACAAUGUUCAUUUUUUUUCCUUGAAGGAGUAAACCCAGGUCUCUCUCCAGUGUCUUAUCAGCCUCCCAAAGGCGGGGAAUCCCACUGGGGUCCCUGAUCACCUUCCAGAGUCACCUCUCUGCAACCAGCUGCAUUUUGCUAGAAUCGGCCUUGCUGUCCACCUUCCCCAUCAGCGUCCUCAUGGAGACCACCACGAGGGAGGGGCCAGCGGGUCUGAACUUGAGGCUAUGUCUAGCAGUGUGUCUGAGCUCCAGGUACCCAGGAGGGGGCCAUGGCCGAGUGAUGCCCAG
rnacentral:lncRNA from 1 species